AACAGUUUGAAAAAUUCUUCAGAUAAAGAAGAAACUUAUAGUGCACACCUAACAGGAGGUACUACAGCAGGGGCCCUCAACUCACAGGUUUCUGCUGCUCGGAUUGGUCCAUCAAAUGGAGGAUGCGUGCUGAUUCCUGGUGAAUGGGUC